CCUACGGGAGGCAGCAGUGAGGAAUAUUGGUCAAUGGCCGGGAGUCUGAACCAGCCAAGUCGCGUGAGGGACGACUGCCCUAUGGGUUGUAAACCUCUUUUAUAUGGGAAUAAUAAGUGCUACGUGUAGGAUUAUGCAUGUACCUUAUGAAUAAGGAUCGGCUAACUCCGUGCCAGCAGCCGCGGUAAUACGGAGGAUGCGAGCGUUAUCCGGAUUUAUUGGGUUUAAAGGGGGCGUAGGCGGUUUGUUAAGUAAGUGGUAAAAUGUGGGGGCUAAACCUUGAAUUGCAAUUUAUACUGGCAGACUCGAGUACAGUAGAGGUAGGCGGAAUAAGUGAUGUAGCGGUGAAAUGCUUAGAUAUAACGAAGAACUCCGAUAGCGAAGGCAGCUCACCGGACUGCGACUGACACUGAGGCACGAGAGUGUGGGUAGCGAACAGGAUUAGAUACCCGAGUAGUC
rnacentral:rRNA from 1 species